AACUAAAAAUACUGUAAAUUCGCUUUGGAUAAAAGCGUCUGCUAAAUGACUCUGG
rfam:Danio rerio chromosome 3, GRCz11 reference primary assembly.